rnacentral:rRNA from 1 species
GGAGUCUGGGCCGUGUCUCAGUCCCAAUGUGGCCGUCCACCCUCUCAGGCCGGCUACCGAUCGUCGCCUUGGUGGGCCGUCGCCCCGCCUACUAUCUAAUCAGACGCAUCCCCAUCCCUUAGCGAUGAAUCUUUGGUUUGAUUUUGAUGUCAGCAUCAAACAACAUAGGGAAUUAAUCCGACUUUCGCCGGGCUGU